UACGGGGGGUGCGAGCGUUAAUCGGAAUAACUGGGCGUAAAGGGCACGCAGGCGGUCUUUUAAGUGAGAUGUGAAAUCCCCGGGCUUAACCUGGGAAUAGCAUUGCAUACUGGGAGUCUAGAGUACUGUAGGGGGGGGUAGAAUUCCACGUGUAGCGGUGAAAUGCGUAGAGAUGUGGAGGAAUACCGAUGGCGAAGGCAGCCCCUUGGGAAUGUACUGACGCUCAGGUGCGAAAGCGUGGGGAGCAAACAGG
rnacentral:rRNA from 1 species